rnacentral:rRNA from 1 species
GACGAACGCUGGCGGCGUGCUUAACACAUGCAAGUCGAACGAAGAGCGAUGGAAGCUUGCUUCUAUCAAUCUUAGUGGCGAACGGGUGAGUAACGCGUAAUCAACCUGCCCUUCAGAGGGGGACAACAGUAGGAAACGACUGCUAAUACCGCAUACGAUCUAAUCUCGGCAUCGAGGAUAGAUGAAAGGUGGCCUCUACAUGUAAGCUAUCACUGAAGGAGGGGAUUGCGUCUGAUUAGCUAGUUGGAGGGGGAACGGCCCACCAAGGCGAUGAUCAGUAGCCGGUCUGAGAGGAUGAACGGCCACAUUGGGACUGGGACACGGCCCAGACUCCUACGGGAGGCAGCAGUGGGGAAUCUUCCGCAAUGGACGAAAGGCUGACGGAGCAACGCCGCGUGAGUGAUGACGGCCUUCGGGUUGUAAAGCUCUGUUAAUCGGGACGAAAGGCCUUCUUGCGAAUAGUGAGAAGGAUUGACGGUACCGGAAUAGAAAGCCACGGCUAACUACGUG